AAUAACAUUAGGUUCUUAAACCACAUUAAUUUAUUCUAAACUUAAUAAUUAUCGUCAAAAUAUAUAAAAAAUUGUUUUUGUGUAAAAUGAUUAUAUGGAUAGGAAGUUAGUUGAAAAUAUGUUCACUGAGACAUAAAUAAAAUUAAAAAAUAUUUAAUUAUUUAUAUAGGUUAAAAGAUUAAAAAAAAUAAAAAAUCAAUUUCACC
rnacentral:lncRNA from 1 species